rnacentral:rRNA from 1 species
UACGGAGGGUGCAAGCGUUAAUCGGAAUUACUGGGCGUAAAGCGCACGCAGGCGGUCAAUUAAGUCAGAUGUGAAAGCCCCGAGCUUAACUUGGGAAUUGCAUCUGAAACUGGUUGGCUAGAGUCUUGUAGAGGGGGGUAGAAUUCCAUGUGUAGCGGUGAAAUGCGUAGAGAUGUGGAGGAAUACCGGUGGCGAAGGCGGCCCCCUGGACAAAGACUGACGCUCAGGUGCGAAAGCGUGGGGAGCAAACAGG